AAGCUGUGGGCUUUGCCUAA
rnacentral:miRNA from 1 species